rnacentral:rRNA from 1 species
UACAGAGGGGGCAAGCGUUGUUCGGAAUUACUGGGCGUAAAGGGCGCGUAGGCGGCCUUCUAAGUCGAACGUGAAAUCCCUCAGCUUAACUGGGGAACUGCGUCUGAUACUGGCGAGCUUGAGUGCAGGAGAGGAACGCAGAAUUCCAGGUGUAGCGGUGAAAUGCGUAGAUAUCUGGAGGAAUACCGGUGGCGAAGGCGGCGUUCUGGACUGCAACUGACACUGAUGAACGAAAGCCAGGGGAGCAAACGGG